ACGUAGGUGGCAAGCGUUAUCCGGAUUUACUGGGUGUAAAGGGCGUGUAGGCGGGAAAGCAAGUCAGGCGUGAAAACUCGGGGCUCAACCCCGAGCCUGCGUUUGAAACUGUUUUUCUUGAGUGAUGGAGAGGCAGGCGGAAUUCCGUGUGUAGCGGUGAAAUGCGUAGAUAUACGGAGGAACACCAGUGGCGAAGGCGGCCUGCUGGACAUUAACUGACGCUGAGGCGCGAAAGCGUGGGGAGCAAACAG
rnacentral:rRNA from 1 species